GGGAAGAGGCGGAUCUGCUGCUCCAGUGCCUCUCAACUAGCUCAGGAGGAGAGAGGCAGCCUUUCCCAGCAGUUCCUCCCGGGCACGGAAUUAUUUAGUUCAGCAUUUAUAAAUCCCGCCCUGUGUCCCAUGCCCUCUACAUCUAGAUGCGGGGUAGUUUCCUCCUGUUAAGUCUCAAGAUUUACCACAACCACAGGAUGGUGAGCUGUGGAUGAGAUAGAGCUCCCUGAAUACCUGGAAACUGUUCAGCCAUGGAGCUCCCAAGGCCAUGACAGUAAAAUACCGGUCAAGCUUCUGGGAAAGACGCAGCAUCGGGGCCAGGUGUCAGCUGUGAAGCAAAGAGGAGACUGGAGCGAUGGCUACUCCCAGCCAUGGCGUCCUCUUCUCACCCAACUAGCAGAGCUCAGGCACACGGAGCUGGAACUCUGUGCCGACUCUUCAAACCCUGAUCACGAGAGUACCCAGUGGCCUCCUCCAACGCCCUUAGACAGGCCACACAGGGAGGGAAGGAACUCCAAGGUGGAGGGGCUUCUGAAACCAUCAGGGAAGGGGGCGGGGGUUUGCAUCAGGCACUCUCCCCGGAGACUCUGCACUCAGGGGGCUGCCGGAGACUGAGCUCCCAGGCAGGUCAGUGCUCGCCUCCAGGCCAGCCUGCUCUCUGGCAGGGCAGCUGGGAGAGCAGCGAGGCCGGGCUGGACGGGAGGAGCCGCAGCACACACACUCACAGGGCUUCGGCAUCAGUGCCCAUUAAGAAGGGGAGGUGCUUCUCUCCAUCUUAUUAGUUUCAUAGUAUUUGAGGCUAAACUACCCUUUGCCGACGCUUUGGCAACCUUUGCAAUAUAUGUUCUCAACUAUUGAACAUACGACACCCAGUCACCAAGCGAGCGUUAUGCAGAGAGACAUACUCAACUGACAAACAUUCUAAAGUGAAAAACAAAACAAAACAAUGACCAAAAGCCUUCCCAUUAUCUUAUUUUCCUAGUUGAUUUUUUGUUAACCCCUAAGGUGCUGGGGAGCCCGCCUGUCUUUCGCCAAAAGUGCCGGGAGCGCUAUCAAAGCUUCGAAAUGGCGUCCAGUUCUAAGUCUGCUUUCAUAAGUGACGAUGAUAUUGCUAAAUGUGUCAAUGUAGUAAAGGUUUCCUUAAGUUUUUGAAUAUGUAACUUCAUGUACUUGCGAUUCAUAAUUUUUUUCCUAAACUGCUGUAAAAUCAGCAAAAAUGCCUUGGCAAUUUUAGCAUAGUUCCUAGGAUACUGGUUGGCACUCAAAGGGUUAAUAUGAAAUAGGUUGUACAUGUGACUUAGUUAAAAUCAUUUCGUAUUAUUAGGAGUGUCUUUUAGGUGUAUGACUUUCAUGCUUAAAACCCAUUUUUUAUUCAAAUGUCUUACACUCUAAGAAAGAAGUUCUAUUACUAUUCCCCAUGUUAUGAUGGGAAAAAAAAGACACAGAGAAAUUAUGCAACUUAACAAUAUCCCAUAGCAUCACAGUCUUCAGAAUAGAAAAUAAUAACAAUGGAUGAUUAUCUCUGCAAAUCAAACUCUAAAAUUCUAAAAAAUAUAGAACAGGAUUCUAAAGAGACUCAUUUCUCUAAAUAGGAAAACAAAAUCCCAUACGUAAAUUAUCAUAUCACACACAUGAUUAACAACCUCAUACUAAUUUUUAAAAACUACUUGAUUUCCUUUAUCAUAACCAAUACGAUACAAUUAAUAUGUAAUUUAGAUAAAAAUAACUUUGAGAAAUAGUAUAUUUGACUGGGCAGUAAUGAAACCAUGGAAAAGAUAACUGAUUAUUGAAAAAUUAUCAAAUGUUAAUCCUUACAAAUAAUUAUUACAAGCCAAUCUUGUGAAUUCAAGAUAGGCAUAUGACUAACAGCCACAAAUGGUAGGAAUGCACUUAAAAUGUCCGUAUAGUUAGCAUAUAUAGAAAAUUUAUUAGCUAAAAUCGGCUGUGAAACCUGGCCUGCAGUUUGGUUGACUAUUAAAUUUAACUUUGUCUCAUUAUUUCAAAAUUUAAAUAGCUUUCUCUACAUUAUUAAGAACUGUAAUCUUAAAAUAGUAAAAAAUAACUUCACAAACACAUAGCUAUAGCAAGCCAUAUUGCCCAAAAAGCUAUACAAUAUCUGUUCCUAUAGAACUUUCCCAAUCCUUGUAUUUCAGAGCUUAUUUGAAAAACCAUCGCUAUUUUGCAUUUAUAACUGGUAUCCUUGCACUAAAGAUAUGAACUGUAAAUAUCUUUUUAUAUACAAAAUGGCCACAUCCCAAUUUUAAUUACACAAUUAAUUUUGUUAACAUAGAAAGUUGUAUCUAAUAAAAAGAAAUCACACAGUUCUAUAAUUUCAAAGGCAACAUUAAAGGUUCUUUGUUGAAGAGAUAAUGAAGUAAUCGCCAAGGUGUUUGAAACAAUAAAGUCAAUAUUACAUUGAUUUCAAGGAAAACUAAGAAUGCAUGCCUUUACAUAAAACAGAAACAGGAUAACUCACUUUACAAGAGAAUAAAAAAGAGAUAGCUUUUAAAAAUAUAUUAAAUUCUCCAACCCAAGUAAGAAUUAAAAAAAAAAAAAAAAAAAGAGGAGAGAAAGAGAGAGAAGGGAAAGA